rnacentral:lncRNA from 1 species
AAACUUACAAAGUCAAUGCAAAACAUGAAAAUUUCAAAUUGAUUUUUUGGUGUUUUUUUCCAUGGAAUUUUUUUGGUAUUUGGUCAAACAUAUAACUAUGUCAACCUCUUCAAUUUCUUAAACAUUUUAAGUGGUAAGCUCUUGAUGAUUCAGAAAUACAUGCCUCCGCUCGCAAAACUUCAAACUGCGUUAUCUCUUAAACGAC